CAGUUUGAUUUCGUGAAGAGACACAGCCAGAGGCCUCAAAUAAAUAAUCUUGAAAAUCAGUAAGGAACAUAGAUUAGGAACUUAAAGUGCACUAUGUUUGUGGCUCUGAAAUUUUUCUAAGAAACGCAGUUGUAAUUUUCUGUUCUCAAAAAAGCUUUUCAACGAGGGAAGUGUUCAUAAUAAUGUUAAUAACAGACUUUAUUACUGAAAACAAAAUACGAUCUGCAACAUACACAUAAUGCGGUGAUAUUUCGCGGUAGACCUCUUCUAAGAAAAAAUCCAAUGCAAUGUGUUGCAAUAAUACAAACAAUCUUUACAAACAGGGUACACUUUCAUACGAAUGAAAUACUUUCUAGUCUAAACAAUCUAGUAACCGUUAAAGGGAACAACAAUGUUCCGUAAACUAAUUCAGUACGAUUUUAGCUCAGCGAAUAAUCAUGCUGGACUUCUACUACAUGCUCUACUCGGCACCUUGCCGUUCCAUCCUGAUGACUGCCCGUGCCCUGGGACUGGAGCUGAACAAGAAGCAGGUCGAUCUGGAUGCCGGUGAGCAUCUGAAGCCGGAGUUUGUGAGGAUCAAUCCUCAGCAUACGAUUCCCACGCUCGUCGACGACGGGUUCGCGCUCUGGGAGUCGAGGGCUAUACUGAUUUAUCUGGGCGAGAAGUACGACAAGGAUGGCUCCCUGUAUCCCAAAGAUCCCCAGCAGAGGGCCGUCAUCAACCAGCGCCUGUUCUUCGAUCUGAGCACUCUGUAUCAGAGCUACGUGUACUACUACUAUCCCCAGUUGUUUGAGGAUGUGAAGAAGCCGGCUGAUCCCGAGAACGUCAAGAGGAUCGAUGCUGCCUUCGAUAUGUUCAAUACUCUGCUGAAGGGCCAGCAGUACGCCGCCCUCAACAAGUUAACUCUGGCCGAUUUUGCCCUCCUGACCACCGUUUCCACGUUUGAAAUAUCGGAAUAUGAUUUUCGUAAAUAUCCGGAAGUGGUCAGGUGGUACGAGAAUGCCAAGAAAGUGAUACCCGGCUGGGAGGAGAACUGGGAGGGCUGCGAGUACUACAAGAAAUUGUAUCUGGGUGCGAUAUUGAACAAACAAUGACUGGGCUGUAAUAAGUAAUCUAAUCUGUAUCGGACUGUUCGAAUAAAGAGUGAGGCAUUCUGAAAUGACUAAGAGUAUGAUGGCCGAAGAGUUGUUGGCUUUGGAUUGCGAUAAGGACAUGGAUCCUCUGCUCUUGUAAAAUUUGCUUGGACACGACACCUCAAACAUUCUGCUACCGAUAAGAUAAUGUUCCGUGUUGGUUUGCUGAAAAGCCAGCUGCCGUGAUUUUGCUGAUAGCGAAAGUAAUUAAAGUCAAAGAGAUCCCAGCAAGCGUAAAAUGGAUUUAUA